rnacentral:rRNA from 1 species
AUGAGAUUUUGGGCGGAUAGGCUGAUGGGAGACCCAACGGCUCCUAUACGGACUGGCGACGCGGUCGUCUCGGGCGAUGGUGGCGACGACGUUGCACAGGGCCUCGUCCCCGCCGAUCACGGCGUCGUCGCUCUGGUCCCGGCGGGGGGCCAGGCGGGGGGAUGGUCGACGGCUCGCUCCCCUGCACCCAGGCGGAUGGGCGAGCCCCCCACGGGCAUGAGGCGGGCGGCCUGCACCAUUGGCGACUGCGUGUCGCGGGCCGAGGAGCUUGGGGGCUCUCUCAAGGCCGGACGUCGGCGUGCCUUUGCGCCUAGUGGCUGUGGCCCGCGUCGGGUCGCGGCGGCCGUGCGCAGGGUGCCGGGUUCUUCAUGGGGUCGCGAGGGACAGGGCUCCCUUGCGGUGGCUGAUGCGGGGCUGCUCCUGCAGCAUGCACUGGAUCCCCCACGCCCGGCGACGGAGCUUCCUGUGGCGGCGGCGGCGGCGCAGCCGGCGCUGGAAGAGGAGCGUCCUAGGGUUGCGGCGGCUACGCCUGUGUCUUGGGUGGGCCGGCCCGCUGGGAUGGCGCCCGGCCCAUCUACGGGGCAGCAGUGGGCUGGCGCCCAGUCUCCGGACAGGCCCGGGUAUCUUCAUGUGGAAAAGCAAAUUAUUCAUAUGGAUCUGAAGCCAGCGAACAUAUUAGUAGAUUAUAAUAUGGAAGCCAAAAUAACUGAUUUUGGUUUAUCAAGAAUGGAGGAAAAUGCACAAACCAAAAGUACAACCCGUGUGUCAUCACCAGGAUACACCGCUCCAGAAUACAUAGACAAAGGCAAAAUGUCAGUUAAGUAUGAUGUGUAUAGCCUGGGAAUCAUAAUAAUAGAAUUGGUGAUAGGACAUAGGAGUAUUCCCGAUACUAAGAGUGUACUUAGAAGAUGGAGGCAUAGAUUGCAUAAAUCAGGGAAAGAAAUACUAUUCCGAUGCCAACAGAUAGGCGACCUCAUCAAGAUCGGGCUACUCUGCCAAGAAGAUGACCCCUAUAAGAGGCCUUUUAUAUCAGAUAUAAUACGUGCUAUCAAUGAACUAGAAAGCACAGAUAGUAAAAUCAGCAAUGCAAACGAAUCUACGACAGGGCAGAUAAGUCGAUACUUGGAGGAUGACAUGCUUGGAGUUGAUCCGCUCGAGUUACGCUUUCCUUUUCAGCUCAAUAGCCAGAUAUCAUGCUCACCUGAGCUAACCAACGAGACAAAUGCUUUUAUUGCAUUCAAGGUCCUGACUACAAGCCCCCUGCCAUACUAUAUACAACCAAAUAAAGGCAUUGUGGUUCCACGAUCGAAGUAUAGUGUCAACAUAACAUUGCAACCACUAGACAAGGCACCACAAGAUAAGUACAUUGGUGAUUUCAUUGUGCGGAGCACCAGAGUAAAUGGGAAUCUUGAGGACAUAACUGAAGAUAUAUUUAAAAGAGAGGAUGGUAAAUGGGUGGAUGAGGUGAAUCUGACGAUUACAUAUAAGGUUGAGGAACCCCAAGUGGAUGUGCCACUUGGGUCACCUAUAAUUUCAGACACGAGAAAUUUGCACGGUCCACAAGUAUCCACAAUGCUCUCAACUGAGGCAGAAUCCAAGAUAAGUGCAUCUACCUCAGAUGAGGUGAUCCAGUUUGAUCCCCCCGAGCUCUGCUUUCCCUUGGUGCCAGAUAGAAAGGUGCUAUCCUCCGUUAAAGUAAUCAACAUUACAGAAUUGUACGUCAGUAUAAGAUUGUCUUUCCCAAAAGGAAACUCGGCAAUGUACUUCCCAAGCAGUGACAUGUUGAUCAUGCCACCACGGUCCACACAAUGGCUAGCAGUAAUAAGAAAAGAGAAGGAAGAUGCAGUAAAAGACAUGCAGUUCAAUGACCAAGUCUCUGUGUGGUACGCAAUUGUGGCCGAAGAUAUCAAACUGUGCGACCUUGAUUGGAAGGAUUACAAGGAGAAUAAGAAGUUGCCUGUCGUUCUAACAAAGAAAACAAGGAUUACCCCUGGCCUCGUCAUCAAAGGAUGCGCACAGCUAUUUUAUUAA